rnacentral:rRNA from 1 species
UACCAGCACCCCGAGUGGUCGGGACGAUUAUUGGGCCUAAAGCAUCCGUAGCCGGCCUUACAAGUCCUCCGUUAAAUCCAGCUGCUUAACAGAUGGGCUGCGGAGGAUACUAUAAGACUAGGAGGCAGGGGAGGCAAGCGGUACUCAGUGGGUAGGGGUAAAAUCCGUUGAUCCAUUGAAGACCACCAGUGGCGAAGGCGGCUUGCCAGAAUGCGCUCGACGGUGAGGGAUGAAAGCUGGGGGAGCAAACCGG